rnacentral:rRNA from 1 species
AGAGUUUGAUCCUGGCUCAGGAUGAACGCUGGCGGCAUGCCUAAUACAUGCAAGUCGAACGAAGUUUCGAGGAAGCUUGCUUCCAAAGAGACUUAGUGGCGAACGGGUGAGUAACACGUAGGUAACCUGCCCAUGUGUCCGGGAUAACUGCUGGAAACGGUAGCUAAAACCGGAUAGGUAUACAGAGCGCAUGCUCAGUAUAUUAAAGCGCCCAUCAAGGCGUGAACAUGGAUGGACCUGCGGCGCAUUAGCUAGUUGGUGAGGUAACGGCCCACCAAGGCGAUGAUGCGUAGCCGGCCUGAGAGGGUAAACGGCCACAUUGGGACUGAGACACGGCCCAAACUCCUACGGGAGGCAGCAGUAGGGAAUUUUCGUCAAUGGGGGAAACCCUGAACGAGCAAUGCCGCGUGAGUGAAGAAGGUCUUCGGAUCGUAAAGCUCUGUUGUAAGUGAAGAACGGCUCAUAGAGGAAAUGCUAUGGGAGUGACGGUAGCUUACCAGAAAGCCACGGCUAACUACGUGCCAGCAGCCGCGGUAAUACGUAGGUGGCAAGCGUUAUCCGGAAUCAUUGGGCGUAAAGGGUGCGUAGGUGGCGUACAAAGUCUGUAGUAAAAGGCAAUGGCUCAACCAUUGUAAGCUAUGGAAACUGGUAUGCUGGAGUGCAGAAGAGGGCGAUGGAAUUCCAUGUGUAGCGGUAAAAUGCGUAGAUAUAUGGAGGAACACCAGUGGCGAAGGCGGUCGCCUGGUCUGUAACUGACACUGAGGCAUGAAAGCGUGGGGAGCAAAUAGGAUUAGAUACCCUAGUAGUCCACGCCGUAAAC